AUUGAACGCUGGCGGCAGGCCUAACACAUGCAAGUCGAGCGGAUGAAGGGAGCUUGCUCCUGGAUUCAGCGGCGGACGGGUGGGUAAUGCCUAGGAAUCUGCCUGGUAGUGGGGGAUAACGUCCGGAAACGGGCGCUAAUACCGCAUACGUCCUGAGGGAGAAAGUGGGGGAGCUUCGGACCCCAUGGUGUGAGAUGGGCCUAGGUCUGAUUAGCUAGUUGGUGGGGUAGGGGCCUACCAAGCCGAAGAUCGGUAACUGGUCUGAGAGGGUGAGCGGUCACAUUGGGACUGAGAGACGGCCCAGAGUGGUACGGGAGGCAGCAGGGGGGAAUAUUGCACAAUGGGCGGAAGCGUGAGAAAGCGAUGUCGGGAUUGUGAAGACGGCCAAGGUGUUGUGAAGCGCAGUAGGCUAAGACGAAGCGGUAGUGACGGUAACGGCAGAAGAAGCACCGGCUAACUACGUG
rnacentral:rRNA from 1 species